AUUGAACGCUGGCGGCAGGCCUAACACAUGCAAGUCGAACGAGUGGCGGACGGGUGAGUAAUGUCUGGGAAACUGCCCGAUGGAGGGGGAUAACUACUGGAAACGGUAGCUAAAACCGCAUAUCAUCGGAUCUGCCAAGAUGGGAUUAGCUCGAAGGGGGGGGAACGGCUAACCCAGGCGACGAGCCCUAGCUGGUCUGAGAGGAUGACCAGCCACACUGGAACUGAGUCACGGUCCAGACUCCUACGGGAGGCAGCAGUGGGGAAUAUUGCACAAUGGGCGCAAGCCUGAUGCAGCCAUGCCGCGUGUAUGAAGAAGGUCUUCGGGUUGUAAAGUACUUUCAGCGAGGAGGCGUUACUCGCAGAAGAAGCACCGGCUAACUCCGUGCCAGCAGCCGCGGUAAUAC
rnacentral:rRNA from 1 species